ensembl:lncRNA
GUUCUUUAGAAGAGAUAGACAAUUGCCUGCUUUUGGAAGGUUUUCAGCUGAAAUUUGCUAGAAAUCAGUAGAUUACUUCAGAUUUCAGCCCAGAGAAGGCAGGAUCUUAACAAUGUGUAUAAAUAUCUAAAGGGAGGGUGAAAAAGGAUGGAGACAUACUGUAUUCUGUGGUGCCCAGUGCCAGGAAAAGAAGCAGUGAGAACAAACUGGAACACGAGUGGUUCCCUCAGAAGACUGGAAAGCACUGCUGAAUUGUGCAGGCAAAACUAUCGAAGCUGAUAAAGCACUCUGUUUACUGGAGAUACCAAAACCAGUGCAAGAAUUGGCAAGGUUGUGUUCCCUAGACUUUAGCUUCUUUACUCAUUACUGCAAGUUUGGAAGGUG